rnacentral:rRNA from 1 species
UACGAACCGAGCAAACGUUAUUCGGAAUCACUGGGCUUAAAGGGCGCGUAGGCGGGCAUUCAAGUCUGUGGUGAAAUCCGACAGCUCAACUGUCGAACUGCCGUGGAUACUGGGUGUCUCGAGGGAGGUAGGGGCGCGCGGAACUAUUGGUGGAGCGGUGAAAUGCGUUGAUAUCAAUAGGAACUCCGGUGGCGAAGGCGGCGCGCUGGACCGCUUCUGACGCUGAGGCGCGAAAGCGAGGGGAGCAAACGGG